UUGCUACCAUGGGCUGCACACACACAAGUCAACAGUGUCAUUCAUAGAAAUGAAAGACCAGACACAUGGGAAAGCCUGUGGGCAUAUGGCCUUACUGAGAAGAGAGUCUAGCUAUAAAAAUAUCAGAGUUCACUGAAUUGUUUAAAUCUGUGUGUUUAUUUCUAUUUUGUCUUCAUCUGAGUGGUUCCUAUAUGAUCCCUUACUUGUGGAAUCUGUAGGAGAAGCUCAGUAAAAGUAAGACAAGAUAUCUAGCUUGUCAGUGAUUAUCUGGAAGAAGAAUGCAGAGAAUCUGGAAACCAUCCAAUGAAAACAAAUUAUGGAAAAGAAGAUUUGAAAGAUAAGUUACACCGUUUUUUACAGCUCUAGAAACUAAUUAUUUACCAAUAACUUUAUUGUGCUUGUUUACUUAUCCCUCGUGCUUAAUUAUUAUUUUUAGGGAUUUAGGCUUUAUUUCAUCAUUUUAACAUAACAACUGUCACUUGAGUUGAAGAAACAGAAAGGAUAGAAUCUGCAAUACACAGCGUACAGCUGGUUGAACUGUUCACAGCAAAUAAUUUACUGGCUCAGUUAAGCCUUAUUAUCUCUUUGAAAAUUGUCCAGAAACAGACUUUGAUUAUUAUGAAAUUGUUAAUUACUCAAAACUGUUUGACAAACAUUUUAUAGAAACAGAGUCCGACUUAUGGGCUGGUCUCAAGCUGUCUUUUAUUCUGUACCCCGAGCUCCUGUUAUGCACUGGUGGGACAGAUACGAUCUCUAGAUGUAAGUAGUGAGCAGAUGAGAAGCCAGUAGAUGGUGCUCAAGGACGAGAAGCUAACUUCUGUGGUUUUAGGAAGGAAGAAAACACGUUGCUAAGCACCGUGAAUGUCUUCACUUGGCUGCAUUUUGAAAGUAUGUUUAGAAGGUAAGCAUCUAUAAAGUUUGAGCAGUAAGGACAGAGGGCUGAAGAAGCUGAAAGAGGACAGCAAGCCAUGAUCAAACAGUGCUGAGUAUCAGAUCCAACAAAGACCUGGAGUCCCCAUCAGUGAACUGCAAGAGCUGAUCAAUCUCAUCUACCUAUAGCUUUGCCCUGCUUUUGGUAGAUGCCAAUAAAUUUAAUGUAUCCUAUCUCAAGAUGCAAUGUGUCACUGAUCCUAAAGCUGUGCAUUAGUACUGAUUGUGCUAACUUGACAGAAACUAAACUGAAACUACAUUUGUAGAGCACAAAGCUCUCCAACAGUGAAUUCAGUCCAUUGUACCAGGCUGUAGAUGGUGUGAAAAGGAACUACUUUGAAAUGUAAACAGUGUUGGGAUGUACUGCUCUCCGCACCUUAUGGUUUCACUCCUACUGGGCUGCACAAUUUUCUGGAUUCCCUUUCUUCACUUCCAGGAUAUCAGAUGGGGAGAAGAAAUUAAUCCUCUUCAAAAAGCUUAGGUAUAGUUUGGGAGUUAGUUCAUUCAUAGAGAUUGCUUUGUGUAGGCAAGAGAGUCAUGACAAACUUGGUUUCUCUAAUCCUGCCCAGUUCUAGUACCAUGUUGGGUUUUGCACCUUCUACACAUCCUUCUGCCAUGUGC